rnacentral:rRNA from 1 species
CGCAUCUGUGCAUGCAGCAUAUCAAUAAGCGGAGGAAAAGAAACUAACAAGGAUUCCCUUAGUAACGGCGAGUGAAGCGGGAAGAGCUCAAAUUUGAAAUCUUAAAGGGUUUCCCUUUACGAAUUGUAGUUUAAAGAAGUGUUUUCCGUUGAGGUUUUGGUAAAAGUUCUUUGGAAUAGGACAUCAUAGAGGGUGAGAAUCCCGUAUUUGACCUUUACUUUCAACUUUGUGAUACACUUUCAAAGAGUCGGAUUGUUUGGGAAUGCAGUCCAAAAUGGGUGGUAAAUUUCAUCUAAAGCUAAAUAUUGGCGAGAGACCGAUAGCGAACAAGUACCGUGAGGGAAAGAUGAAAAGAACUUUGAAAAGAGAGUUAAACAGUACGUGAAAUUGUCAAAAGGGAAGCGUUUGACACCAGUGUUGUUUUUCUGAAAAUCAAUUAAAGAACUGUUUAUGCUAAGUUGUUUAGACUUUAUCAGCUAUCUGCUUAGUUUUGAGCUUUUCUUUAAUGCACUUUUCAGUUAACAAGUCAACAUCAAUUUCUUUUGCUGUAAAAAAGCUUGAGGAAGGUGGCUUGAGAUUCGUCUUAAGUGUUUAUAGCCUCUUGCCUAUGCAGUCGGAGAGAUUGAGGUCUGCAGCGUAGAUCCUUCGGGGCUAAAUGCAUUUGUGCUAAGUUAUAGCAUUUUAUAGACAACUUGUUGACUAUGAUUUGUCUUGUAGCUUACUCGCUUAUGUUAUUUUACCUACGCUUAGGAUGUUGACGAGACUGUCGAUCUC